rnacentral:lncRNA from 1 species
AUCACUCUUCUUCCAACCAAAAUCAACUACCAAAAGUACAAUCAACCCAAUGGAAGGUACUACCUGGACUGCAUAUGCUGCAGUAUUUCUUGCUACUCUGUUUCUUUUGCUUCUCUCCAAAUUUCUUCGCCAGAGGAAACUCAACUUACCUCCAGGCCCAAAACCAUGGCCGAUCAUCGGAAAUUUAAACCUUAUUGGCAGCCUUGCUCACCGAUCCAUCCACGAUCUUUCCGUCAAGUACGGACCCAUUAUGCAACUACAAUUCGGGUCUUUUCCCGUCGUAGUUGGCUCCUCUGUAGAAAUGGCCAAAAUUUUCCUCAAAACCAUGGAUAUCAACUUUGUCGGAAGGCCUAAAACCGCUGCCGGAAAGUACACUACUUAUAACUAUUCAGAUAUUACAUGGUCCCCGUACGGAUCCUAUUGGCGUCAGGCACGUAGAAUGUGCCUGAUGGAAUUGUUCAGUGCAAAACGGCUCGAUUCAUACGAGUAUAUUCGGGAUCAGGAACUUCAUUCUAUUCUUCAUAAUUUGAACAAAUUAUCGGGGAAACCGAUUCUGCUGAAAGAUUAUUUGACGACUCUGAGUUUAAAUGUUAUUAGCAGAAUGGUAUUGGGGAAAAGUUACUUGGACGUAUCCGAAAACUCGAUUGUGACUCCUGAUGAAUUUAAAAAGAUGUUGGAUGAAUUGUUCUUACUUAAUGGAGUCCUCAAUAUUGGAGAUUCAAUUCCAUGGCUUGAUUUCAUGGACUUGCAAGGUUAUGUUAAGAGGAUGAAAGUUGUAAGCAAGAAAUUCGACAAAUUUCUCGAGCAUGUACUUGAUGAGCAUAACGUGAGAAGGAACGCAGUGGAAAACUACGUUGCUAAGGACAUGGUGGAUAUUCUAUUGCAGCUUGCUGAUGAUCCAACUCUGGAUGUUAAGCUAGAGAGACAUGGAGUCAAAGCAUUCACUCAGGUAUUCACUUUAUUUUUAUAUAAAACUCAAAAAAAUAAUUGGAGUAACGUUUGUAUAAGAUAAAAAGGUGCAUAGCUAUGGGUAAUUUUCUCAUUAACCUUGCACUGAAUGAAUCCCUACUGCUCUGCUCCACUUGGGGUGAAUUCCUUCACUCUAUUGUUAUGGAUGGAGACGAGAUAUUGUGGAAAUUUUUGAUGGACCCAAAAUUUGGUUAUCACUUUUCAACAAGAAAAUGAAUAUACUCGUAAUAAUUGAACUGUAUCAAUGAUAGUGUUAUAGAAAUGAUAUCACACCCACUUUCUGUCUAAGUAAAACGCACAAUUUAAGGUGGUCCAUUUGUAGCUAUUUUAGAAAUAGAAAGUGACUACUAAAAGAAUAUUAAUAAAUUUUGUAGCUAAAUAACAAAAUACGACUCUAAUUCUAUUUAGCACCACAUUAUAAGAAAAACUGUUAGCUAUUAACUAUGUAGCAAUAGAUUAGCGAGAAAGUUCAUAGCUAGUUAGGUUAUUUGUAUUUGUUUCUUAUGGUUGAUUAAAGUUGAUGACACGAGUAAAAUGUGUAUGGUACAAUCAGGACUUGUUGGCUGGUGGAACUGAGAGUUCAGCAGUGACAGUAGAAUGGGCAAUUUCAGAGUUGUUGAAGAAGCCAGAGAUUUUCAAAAAAGCUACGGAGGAAUUAGAUCGAGUAAUAGGCCAAAACAGAUGGGUACAAGAAAAAGACAUCCCGAAUCUUCCUUACAUAGAGGCAAUUGCAAAAGAGACUAUGCGUCUGCACCCAGUGGCACCAAUGUUGGUGCCACGUGAGUGUCGGGAAGACUGCAAGGUAGCUGGAUACGACGUUCAAAAAGGAACCAGGGUCCUCGUGAGUGUGUGGACUAUCGGAAGGGAUCCAACAUUGUGGGACGAGCCUGAGGCUUUCAAGCCCGAGAGGUUCCUCGACAAGUCCAUCGAUGUCAAAGGACAUGAUUUUGAGCUUUUGCCAUUUGGAGCUGGGAGAAGGAUGUGCCCUGGAUACAGCUUGGGUCUUAAGGUGAUUCAAGCUAGUUUAGCUAAUCUUCUACAUGGAUUUAAUUGGUCAUUGCCUGAUAAUAUGACUCCUGAGGAACUCAACAUGGAGGAAGUUUUUGGGCUCUCAACACCCAAAAAGUUCCCACUUUCUGCUGUGAUUGAGCCAAGGCUUUCAUCAAAACUUUACUCUGUUUGAUUCAGCACCUACUAUGGUUCCAUCAAAACAGAGUUUCUUUAUCCAAAUACUUAGCUAAAUAAACUUCACAUGUCUCCUUGCACCCACUAGCUAUAGCCCUAAUACUCUACUUUUUUUCCACUUUUGCCCCUCAAGUCACCUGAGGUCCCCAGGAUUUGCUUAUAUGUUUGUAUCACUCAGGAUGUGCUAAUCAAGGUUAAGAAAAAUGAAUCAAUUUCAAUAUUUCUGUGCUGUAAGAAUGUUUCUUAUAUAUGAUUUUGAAAAAUUUCACAUCAUGAGUUAGCUCUUUUAUUUUAGUUUGUGAGAAAGUCAGUCAUACUACUUUAGUUAAUUAUGAUGAAAUGGAAUAUGGAUUUUUGUUGAAGUCAUUCUUCUAUCGUUCUAGUUGUUAGUGAAGCGACUGUCUGAUAUCCCAUCGUGUAAAUAGCACUGCCGUCAUAUCCUCAACUAGAACAAAGGAAAUAAGAACGAUUAUCAGCAUGGUCCCUAUUAUCAUAGCCUUGUUAAAUAUUUUAGAUAUUAGACUAAAAAUAGACUCCUCUUAUAAGUAAACAGCUUAAUAUAAAAUUCUAACUAAUCCAGCAUAUCAACAGCAGCAGAGGCAAGAUUUUAGCGUCUGCACUACAAAUGUUCAAUCUUGAACAUGAGGGGUGUUAGAAUAUCUUACAUUGGUUGAGAGAAAGGAUGUUUGUCUCCUUACAGGAUAUCGGUCUAGACUCACCUCAUAAAUUAGCUUUUGAAGUUAAGUUAGGUUACAAGUUAAAUUUUGUUAAUAAAUAAUGAUGUCUUACUAAUAAGUCAUCACAGUGAUGCUAAUCUAGAGUCAUACCUGCAAAAUACUACUCAAACACAAUGUUGCAAAGGAAUUUCUCCAAGGUGGCUGGGGAUUGGGGAAAUACUUUCUUGGUUUUGGGUCUUCCACUUAUCAAAUAUCCAAGUGACCCACUACUAGCUGUGAUCAGCUUACCCGGGCCUUGACAAUUUAAUCAGAUAUAUGUAACCUACCACUAGCAUAGAUACCGAAUAACUUCUGUCAUCCACUAGUUCAUAUUAAGUGAAUUGUUAAGAUUUUCAAAAUAAGUGAUUAUUCAAAGUUCAAUAGAAUUGUUGAGGCUGUUUUUUUUAAUAUAUAUUUAUUCUUCAUUAAUUCUUAAUUCCUUUUAUAUAUUUCACAAAGAAUAGUUUGAGAAUAAAAAAAAAUAAUCAUGGAAAGUACUAGAAUAUUUUUUUUAAUGAAUGUGUUAUACCCAAACAAUAAUAGCAAAGACAGUCCAGAAGAAAGAAGUACGUAUUUGUCUUGUGGUGUUGUGGAUAGGUCACAAUCAGUUGUGAAUUAGGAAAGAAAAUCACUUCAUUAAUUGAGCUAUCAAGAUUUCAAGUGUAUUAACUUCCUUAAGAAUCUAUAUUCACUAUUUUUCUUUUUUCAGUGUCUCUGGGUGUUUGGAUGGUAGUUAGGGCACUCCACUGUGUGGUGACACUUGAAAGAGUUGUUAAGGGUCCAAAGCUAUGAACUUGUACUACUUUAUUAUUCGUUGUAAUAGUCUAAUGUGAAAUCGAAUUAACUUACAAAUUUUAGAAUAUGUAACAAGUGUUCAUUUUAGGGAUUAAAGCAAAGAGUCACUAGUCAAAGUCGAGGUAAACGUCAGGUCAAUGCUUUACAAAAUUUGGCGGAAGGUGUGAAAAUUAUAAUUGAUAUUUUGGAGGUACAAAAAAUAUCUUAGGUAUUUAAUAGAAUUUUCUAGAAUUUUGUAGAAUAAUAUCUUUGGUAUUUGUACUUAAGAAAAAUAUAGAUAGUCUAGAGUAUCAGAUAUUUAAGGAAGAUAUUUGUAGGAAAGAUUAGAAUAACUAGAUUCUUAAUAUAUAGAAUCAUCCUUGCCCAAGUAUAAACAGGGAUGGCCUUAGUCAUUUGUAAUCAACUCAAGAACAACUCAAAUCAAAUAGUUUUCUUCUAUAAUAAAGUUCUUUUAUCCAAAAAUACUCAUUCUCCUUUCUUGCUUUCUCCUCUUUGGUUGAAUCUUUCGAUCUUAGUUAACGAUCUUAAGCUAGCAGAAGGGUUCUGUGAUUAUACUUUUCUUCUGCUGCUAUUCUCUAUAGAAGAUGCAUCACGUACCAAAUUGGAAGACUUAACCUUUUUGUACACGAAAUUUCUAAUUUAAAGUGAAAUGCACAAACUUACAACUUGUAUUCUCUUAUAAGAUCACUUCACUCUUUUAACAGAUUUAUUUCUGUCUGAAUAUAAAUUAAUCGUAUAACUAAAUUUUAAAUAACAAAUGUUACCAAAAAAUAAAUAAACCAUUCGUCGCCGUUUUUCCCUUCUGAUUCAUUUGUGAUUUUUCCCACACCAACAUAAAGUAUGUACUUAUUAAAUUCUAGUUGAUUAACACACUGUUGAAGGUAGGGAGGAAAUAAGAAAAAGUUUCUUGGAAAACCAAAGGCAACUGAAACAAAGUUUCCAGGAAAUUAUUACACUUUUUUUUCUCUACGGUUCACUCCCACCCGGUGUUCGAUAUCUAUAUUGAAACCAGACUAAAUUCAAAUUAGUGCUAAGAAAGUUUUCAUUGAGGUAAAACGCUUUCUAACAAAGGCGACUCUGUACCAAGAAGAUUCAAACUCAGGAUCUCUGUAAGGAUGAAGCAAUAGUUAUUAUCACUCCACCACAAAUUUUGUUGGUACUCUCUCUAUUAAAGUGACAGAAAAAUGUUCAACAACCUAUAAAAAAAAUAGUAGUCUCACUGUCCCAAUAUAUGUGUAACAUAAAUUGAUACACAUCAAUUAUUCAUGCAAGUAAUAGUAUUAGACCAUCUCACCAUCACCAUAAAUACAGCUUUGGUGAAGCCAUAAACUACACACUCCAAACAAUUAACACUUGCAAUCACUGUCAGUCCUCUUCCACUACAAAAGGUAGUACAAACAACAUAAUGGAAGGUACUACUUGGACUGCAGUAUUUCUUGCUACUCUGUUUCUUUUGCUUCUCUCCAAAUAUCUUCUCCAGAGGAAACUCAACUUACCUCCGGGACCAAAACCAUGGCCAAUCAUCGGAAAUUUAACCUUAUUGGCAGCCUUCCUCACCGAUCCAUCCACGAACUCUCCCUCAAAUACGGACCCAUUAUGCAACUACAAUUCGGGUCUUUUCCCGUCGCAGUUGGCUCCUCCGUCGAGAUGGCCAAAGUAUUCCUUAAAACCAUG